CCUACGGGAGGCAGCAGUGGGGAAUAUUGGACAAUGGGGGGAACCCUGAUCCAGCCAUGCCGCGUGUGUGAAGAAGGCCCUCGGGUUGUAAAGCACUUUCAGUGAGGAAGAACGCCUGGUGGUUAAUACCCAUCAGGAAAGACAUCACUCACAGAAGAAGCACCGGCUAACUCCGUGCCAGCAGCCGCGGUAAUACGGAGGGUGCGAGCGUUAAUCGGAAUUACUGGGCGUAAAGCGCGCGUAGGUGGCUUGAUAAGCCGGUUGUGAAAGCCCCGGGCUCAACCUGGGAACGGCAUCCGGAACUGUCAAGCUAGAGUGCAGGAGAGGAAGGUAGAAUUCCCGGUGUAGCGGUGAAAUGCGUAGAGAUCGGGAGGAAUACCAGUGGCGAGGCGGCCUUCUGGACUGACACUGACACUGAGGUGCGAAAGCGUGGGUAGCAAACAGGAUUAGAUACCCUAGUAGUC
rnacentral:rRNA from 1 species